UGAGUGGAAUAAGGGCCUCACCUUUUAUGAGAAUGUUAAAAUAGGAGUAAUUAUAGUGGAGCAAGGGUCCCACCUACUUUUACUAAAAAAAGAAAUGGAUACCAAAAUGUGGGACGACCAAAAAAUGAAAGUUGGAUACUAAAAGCUGAGACGGAGGGAGUACCUAUUUAUGACCUUUUCACCCUUAUAUCGUGCAUCGGUGUAUUUUCAACUAAUGUGCGACCGUUGAUGCUCGACUCGCAGUGGUCGAGUAUGUCAAACAUUAAUACAUUUUUACGAAUGUUCGACUACGAGCAAAUUUUUUGCGAUUCGAGUAAUAUCAAACACCGAGAUAAAGCUUCACAUCUAUUAAAUGAUGGUAACUUUGUCUUUUUCAUGUUAAGAACUGAUAGUUCUUUUAUAUUUUUUGUCUUUUAAUUUUGGAAGUUAGUAAAAACUACCAUUAAUUCUUCCAUUUUUUUUUAAAAUUAAAUCUUGAUUUGAGGUUCCAGAAUCUGUAAUACCAUUUUGAUAAUUUGAAAUGUAUUUAAGGGAGAGCGUUGCCUCACCAUAUAAAGUGGCUCAUGCCACUAUCUCCAAUUCAAUGUGAGACACUUCAAUAAAAUGUUUGUGUUGUUUUAUAGGUGAUAAGCAAUGGGAGAUUUUCUAGCCCGGUUCAUAGAGUGGUGACGCAUUCGCGAGAGGCGAGGACGACGAUCGGGUCGUUCUUGAUUCCGUCGCCGGAGAUCGUUAUUGAGCCGGCGGAGGAGUACGCCGGCGACCGCCCCAUCUACAAAGGCUUCACUUAUGAAGAGUUUUUCAGCUACUUCAUUAGGAGCAACUGUGAAGCUGAUGCUGCACUAGCCUUCUUCAAAAAUGAGACCAAUUCAAAAUCAACAACAUCGCUCUAAUGAAUUUCUCUUGUGUAUCAAAUCAACAAAUCUUUAUUUUGUUUGUACAAGCUUUUGUGUGUGUGUGUGUGUGUGGGUGAAAUAGUUGCUUUGUUUAAUAAUGGGGAGUUGAAAUGUAUAGAAUAAAUAUUUUGGUGUGUGUUAAGAUGAGUCUUGUAUGAUAUUGAUAUGGAUCGAGAUUUGAAUUCAAAUUUCACUACCCACACACAUAAUUUACCCGUUUUAGUAGAGACUCGAACAAUUACAUAAUAAAUAUUAAUAUACGAAAACUGUUGCAGCUCGUUUUUUCCUUUGAUUUUUGCCUUGCCAUUGCUACCUCCUUCAUUUGCUUGAGCGCGUGCUUUCAUUCGCUCAAUUUGCGCCUAAGCGUCGAUUUUUAUCAAUUUUCAUUCUGAACCAAAACAGUAUUUAAUGGAUUUCAUUGAUAUGAGAUGAGAUGUAUUUACCUCUAUUUGCCUCAUUUUAGCUUCAACCCUUGCUUUCUUGUGACUCUCCCAUGCUUGAAUUCUUAUUUCUUCUCGUUUACAUAUGAAAUCAAAAAAUUCCUUCUUACCAUUUUUAGCCAAGUUCUAAGUAGAAUUGCUACUGAGAUCUUAUGGCAGAUACUGCUGGCAUCAAAAUAAGCCAAUAAACAAAGCAGUUUCACAAAGUUACAAACCAUUAAAUUUCUUUCUUAGCCACACAUUAAUCUCAUUAGUUUCCUGAAAAAAGCACGAGGAUAAGCAACAACAAAAACAGUAAUCAUACA
rnacentral:lncRNA from 1 species